UACGUAGGGGGCUAGCGUUGUCCGGAUUUAUUGGGCGUAAAGAGCGUGUAGGCGGCCAGGUAGGUCUGCUGUGAAAACUCGAGGCUCAACCUCGAGACGUCGGCGGAAACCAUCUGGCUAGAGUCCGGAAGAGGAGAGUGGAAUUCCUGGUGUAGCGGUGAAAUUCGUAGAUAUCAGGAGGAACACCGAUGGCGAAGGCAGGUCUCUGGGCAUUAACUGACGCUGAGGAGCGAAAGCAUGGGGAGCGAACAGG
rnacentral:rRNA from 1 species